CGCACGGGUGAGUAACACGUAGGUAAUGUGCCUUUGGGUGGGGAAUAACUUAGGGAAACUUAAGCUAAUACCGCAUAAUGCAGCGGCUCCUUCGGGAGACAGUUGUUAAAGAUUUAUCGCCUAAAGAGCAGCCUGCGGCAGAUUAGCUAGUUGGUAAGGUAACGGCUUACCAAGGCUACGAUCUGUAUCCGACCUGAGAGGGUGGUCGGACACACUGACACUGAAUAACGGGUCAG
rnacentral:rRNA from 1 species